rnacentral:rRNA from 1 species
UGCGAUACGUAGUGUGAAUUGCAGAAUUCAGUGAAUCAUCGAAUCUUUGAACGCACAUUGCGCCCUUUGGUAUUCCAAAGGGCAUGCCUGUUCGAGCGUCAUUUGUACCCUCAAGCUUUGCUUGGUGUUGGGCGUUUUUGUCUUUGGCCCGCCAAAGACUCGCCUUAAAAUGAUUGGCAGCCGGCCUACUGGUUUCGCAGCGCAGCACAUUUUUGCGCUUGCAAUCAGCAAAAGAGGACGGCAAUCCAUCAAGACUCCUUCUCACGUUUGACCUCGGAUCAGGUAGGGAUACCCGCUGAACUUAAGCAUAUCAAUAAGCGGAGGA